GAUGAACGCUGGCGGCGUGCCUAAUACAUGCAAGUCGAGCGAACAGACGAGGAGCUUGCUCCUCUGACGUUAGCGGCGGACGGGUGAGUAACACGUGGAUAACCUCCCUAUAAGACUGGGAUAACUUCGGGAAACCGGAGCUAAUACCGGAUAAUAUAUUGAACCGCAUGGUUCAAUAGUGAAAGACGGUUUUGCUGUCACUUAUAGAUGGAUCCGCGCCGCAUUAGCUAGUUGGUAAGGUAACGGCUUACCAAGGCAACGAUGCGUAGCCGACCUGAGAGGGUGAUCGGCCACACUGGAACUGGGACACGGUCCAGACUCCUACGGGAGGCAGCAGUAGGGAAUCUGCCGCAAUGGGCGAAAGCCUGACGGAGCAACGCCGCGUGAGUGAUGAAGGUCUUCGGAUCGUAAAACUCUGUUAUUAGGGAAGAACAAAUGUGUAAGUAACUAUGCACGUCUUGACGGUACCUAAUCAGAAAGCCACGGCUAACUACGUG
rnacentral:rRNA from 1 species